GUCUCCUUUACACGGAGAGGGUCGGGGGUUCGAAUCCCUCAUCACCCA
rnacentral:tRNA from 1 species